rnacentral:rRNA from 1 species
CUUAAAGGAAUUGACGGAGACCCGCACAAGCGGUGGAUGAUGUGGUUUAAUUCGAUGCAACGCGAAAAACCUUACCCACCUUUGACAUGUACGGAAUCCUUUAGAGAUAGAGGAGUGCUCGAAAGAGAGCCGUAACACAGGUGCUGCAUGGCUGUCGUCAGCUCGUGUCGUGAGAUGUUGGGUUAAGUCCCGCAACGAGCGCAACCCUUGCCAUUAGUUGCUACGAAAGGGCACUCUAAUGGGACUGCCGGUGACAAACCGGAGGAAGGUGGGGAUGACGUCAAGUCCUCAUGGCCCUUAUAGGUGGGGCUACGCACGUCAUACAAUGGCUGGUACAAAGGGUUGCCAACCCGCGAGGGGGAGCUAAUCCCAUAAAGCCAGUCGUAGUCCGGAUCGCAGUCUGCAACUCGACUGCGUGAAGUCGGAAUCGCUAGUAAUCGUGGAUCAGAAUGUCACGGUGAAUACGUUCCCGCGCUUUGCACACACCGCCCG